UUGAUCCUGGCUCAGGAUGAACGCUGGCGGCGUGCCUAAUACAUGCAAGUCGAACGCUUUGUGGUUCAACUGAUUUGAAGAGCUUGCUCAGAUAUGAAGAUGGACAUUGCAAAGAGUGGCGAACGGGUGAGUAACACGUGGGAAACCUACCUCUUAGCAGGGGAUAACAUUUGGAAACAGAUGCUAAUACCGUAUAACAAUGACAACCGCAUGGUUGUUAUUUAAAAGAUGGUUCUGCUAUCACUAAGAGAUGGUCCCGCGGUGCAUUAGCUAGUUGGUAAGGUAAUGGCUUACCAAGGCGAUGAUGCAUAGCCGAGUUAAGAGACUGAUCGGCCACAAUGGGACUGAGACACGGCCCAUACUCCUACGGGAGGCAGCAGCAGGGAAUCUUCCACAAUGGGCGAAAGCCUGAUGGAGCAACGCCGCGUGUGUGAUGAAGGGUUUCGGCUCGUAAAACACUGUUGUAAGAGAAGAAUGACAUUGAGAGUAACUGUUCAAUGUGUGACGGUAUCUUACCAGAAAGGAACGGCUAAAUACGUGCCAGCAGCCGCGGUAAUACGUAUGUUCCAAGCGUUAUCCGGAUUUAUUGGGCGUAAAGCGAGCGCAGACGGUUAUUUAAGUCUGAAGUGAAAGCCCUCAGCUCAACUGAGGAAUUGCUUUGGAAACUGGAUGACUUGAGUGCAGUAGAGGAAAGUGGAACUCCAUGUGUAGCGGUGAAAUGCGUAGAUAUAUGGAAGAACACCAGUGGCGAAGGCGGCUUUCUGGACUGUAACUGACGUUGAGGCUCGAAAGUGUGGGUAGCAAACAGGAUUAGAUACCCUGGUAGUCCACACCGUAAACGACGAGUGCUAGGUGUUUGAGGGUUUCCGCCCUUAAGUGCCGCAGCUAACGCAUUAAGCACUCCGCCUGGGGAGUACGACCGCAAGGUUGAAACUCAAAGGAAUUGACGGGGACCCGCACAAGCGGUGGAGCAUGUGGUUUAAUUCGAAGCAACGCGAAGAACCUUACCAGGUCUUGACAUCCCUUGACAACUCCAGAGAUGGAGCGUUCCCUUCGGGGACAAGGUGACAGGUGGGGCAUGGUUGUCGUCAGCUCGUGUCGUGAGAUGUUGGGUUAAGUCCCGCAACGAGCGCAACCCUUAUUACUAGUUGCCAGCAUUCAGUUGGGCACUCUAGUGAGACUGCCGGUGACAAACCGGAGGAAGGUGGGGAUGACGUCAAAUCAUCAUGCCCCUUAUGACCUGGGCUACACACGUGCUACAAUGGCGUAUACAACGAGUUGCCAACCCGCGAGGGUGAGCUAAUCUCUUAAAGUACGUCUCAGUUCGGAUUGUAGGCUGCAACUCGCCUACAUGAAGUCGGAAUCGCUAGUAAUCGCGGAUCAGCACGCCGCGGUGAAUACGUUCCCGGGUCUUGUACACACCGCCCGUCACACCAUGAGAGUUUGUAACACCCAAAGCCCGGUGGGGUAACCUUCGGGAGCCAGCCGUCUAAGGUGGGACAGAUGAUUAGGGUGAAGUCGUAA
rnacentral:rRNA from 1 species